rnacentral:rRNA from 1 species
UUAAGUUAGGAGUUAAAUGUACGGGCUCAACCCGUGAUCUGCUUUUAAUACUGUCGGUCUUGAGUAUGGGAGAGGGAGAUGGAAUUCCAGGUGUAACGGUGGAAUGCGUAGAUAUCUGGAAGAACACCAGUUGCGAAGGCGGUCUCCUGGACCAAUACUGACGCUGAUGCUCGAAAGCUGGGGGAGCGAACAGGAUUAGAUACCCUGGUAGUCCCAGCCGUAAACGAUGGACACUAGUUGCCGGAGGAGUCAAUCCCUUCGGUGACGAAGCUAACGCAUUAAGUGUCCCGCCUGGGGAGUACGCUCGCAAAGGUGAAACUCAAAGGAAUUGACGGGGGCCCGCACAAGCGGUGGAGCAUGUGCUUUAAUUCGAUGCAACGCGAAGAACCUUACCUGGGUUUGACAUGGGGGUGAAAGUUUCCAGAGAUGGAAGCCUUUCCUUCGGGAACACCCCACACAGGUGCUGCAUGGUUGUCGUCAGCUCGUGUCGUGAGAUGUUGGGUUAAGUCCCGCAACGAGCGCAACCCCUGCCCUUAGUUGCCAUCAGGUAAAGCUGGGAACUCUAAGGGGACAGCUUGGUAUAACCAGGAGGAAGGUGGGGAUGACGUCAAAUCAUCAUGGCUCUUACGCCCAGGGCUAGACACGUGCUACAAUGGCAGGUACAGUGGGAUGCCAGCCUGCGAAGGUGAGCUAAUCCCUUAAAACCUGUCUCAGUCCGGAUUGGAGUCUGCAACUCGACUCCAUGAAGUUGGAAUCGCUAGUAAUCGCGGAUCAGCAUGCCGCGGUGAUACGUUCCCGGGCCUUGUACACACCGCCCGUCAAGCCAUGAAAGGCGGUAGUACCCGAAGUCGCGUACCCAACCGUAAGGAGGGAAGCGCCGAAGGUAAGACUGCUAAUUGGGGCUAAGU